GACGAACGCUGGCGGCGUGCUUAACACAUGCAAGUCGAACGGAAAGGCCCUGCUUUUGUGGGGUGCUCGAGUGGCGAACGGGUGAGUAACACGUGAGUAACCUGCCCUUGACUUUGGGAUAACUUCAGGAAACUGGGGCUAAUACCGGAUAGGAGCUCCUGCUGCUUGGUGGGGGUUGGAAAGUUUCGGCGGUUGGGGAUGGACUCGCGGCUUAUCAGCUUGUUGGUGGGGUAGUGGCUUACCAAGGCUUUGACGGGUAGCCGGCCUGAGAGGGUGACCGGCCAAAUUGGGACUGAGAUACGGCCCAGACUCCUACGGGAGGCAGGAGUGGGGAAUAUUGCACAAUGGGCGGAAGCCUGAUGCAGCAACGCCGCGUGCGGGAUGACGGCCUUCGGGUUGUAAACCGAUUUCGCCUGUGACGAAGCGUGAGUGACGGUAAUGGGUAAAGAAGCACCGGCUAACUACGUG
rnacentral:rRNA from 1 species